CCUGACCCCUGACUUUAGACUACACAUCUCAUACCAGUAGGUUAACCCUGACCCCUAACCCUAGACUACACAUCCCAUACCAGUAGGUUAACCCUGACCCCUAACCCUAGACUACACAUCCCAUACCAGUAGGUUAACCCUGACCCCUAACCCUAGACUACACAUCUCAUACCAGUAAGUUAACCCUGACCCCUAACCCUAGACUACACAUCUCAUACCAGUAGGUUAACCCUGACCCCUAACCCUAGACUACACAUCUCAUACCAGUAGGUUAACCCUGACCCCUGACCCCUAACCCUAG
rnacentral:lncRNA from 1 species